rnacentral:rRNA from 1 species
UCUGGUUGAUCCUGCCAGUAGUCAUAUGCUUGUCUUAAAGAUUAAUCCAUGCAUGUGUAAGUAUAAGUAUUGUACAGCGAAACUGCGAAUGGCUCAUUACAUCAGUUAUAAUUUAUUUGAUAAUCGAAAGUUACAUGGAUAACCGUGACAAAUUACAGCUAAUACAUGCAGUCAGACCUGGUCCAAGGGUCGUAAUUAUUAGUAUUAAACCAUUUCCGAAAGGAGUGUGAUGAAUCAUAAUAAUCGAACGAAUCGCCUGGUGUGCGAUAAAUCAUUCAAGUUUCUGCCCUAUCAGCUUUGGAUGGUAGUGUAUUGGACUACCAUGGCAGUCACGGGUAACGGAGAAUUAGGGUUCGAUUCCGGAGAGGGAGCCUGAGAAACGGCUACCACAUCUACGGAAGGCAGCAGGAGCGAAAAUUGCCCAAUCCCGACACGGGGAGGCAGUGACGAGAAAUAACAACUCUUGGUUAUUCUAAGAAGUGUAAUGAGGAUAAUUUAAAACCCUUACCGAAAGCAAUUGGAGGGCAAGUCUGGUGCCAGCAGCCGCGGUAAUUCCAGCUCCAAUAGCGUAUAUUAAAGUUGUUGCAGUUAAAAAGCUCGUAGUUGAAGUUCUGGCUGUUCGAUCCUCGAGCUCUGUAGCCGAGGACUCGACAGUCAUCCGCUUGCAAAUAUAUGUUCGCCUUUAACCGGGCGGCUAUAUGAGUAAGCAAUUUACCUUGAGAAAAACAGAGUGUUCCAGGCAGGUUUGUCCGGAAUGCAUUAGCAUGGAAUAAUAGAAUAUGACUGAAGUCGAUUUAUUGGUUUGAGGCUUUAGUAAUGAUUAAUAGGAACAGUCGGGGGCAUUGGUACUUGACAGUCAGAGGUGAAAUUCUAGGAUUUGUCAAAGACUAACAAAUGCGAAAGCAUUUGCCAAGGAUGUUUUCAUUAAUCAAGAACGAAAGUUAGGGGAUCAAAGACGAUCAGAUACCGUCCUAGUCUUAACUAUAAACUAUACCGACUCGGAUUCAGAUGAAUCAUAAAGUUCAUUUGGGACCGUAGGAGAAAUCAAAGUUUUUGGGUUCUGGGGGAAGUAUGGUCGCAAGGCUGAAACUUAAAGGAAUUGACGGUUUUGCACCACCAUGGAGUGGAGUCUGCGGCUUAAUUUGACUCAACACUGGGAAACUCAUCAGGGCAAGAAGAUUGUAGGAUUGACAGAUUGAGAGUUCUUUCUUGAUUGGUCUAGUGGUGGUGCAUGGCCGUUCUUAGUUGGUGGAGUGAUUUGUCUGGUUAAUUCCGUUAACGAACGAGACCUUAACCUGCUAACUAGU